rnacentral:rRNA from 1 species
GAGUUUGAUCUUGGCUCAGGAUGAACGCUGGCGGCGUGCCUAACACAUGCAAGUCGAGCGGGAAAUUCCUGAUUGAAACUUCGGUCGAAAGAGGGAAUGGAGAGCGGCGGACGGGUGAGUAACGCGUAGGCAACCUGCCCUUUGCAGAGGGAUAGCCAUUGGAAACGAUGAUUAAAACCUCAUAAUGCCAUAUGUUCACAUGGACGAAUGGCCAAAGAUUUAUCGGCAAAGGAUGGGCCUGCGUCUGAUUAGCUGGUUGGUGGGUAACGGCCUACCAAGGCGACGAUCAGUAGCCGACCUGAGAGGGUGAUCGGCCACAUUGGAACUGAGACACGGUCCAAACUCCUACGGGAGGCAGCAGUG